rnacentral:rRNA from 1 species
UACGAAGGGGGCUAGCGUUGCUCGGAUUUACUGGGCGUAAAGGGCGCGUAGGCGGUUCGCUCAGUCAGACGUGAAAUUCCUGGGCUCAACCUGGGAGCUGCGUUUGAUACGUGCGGACUUGAGUGCGGAAGAGGGUCGUGGAAUUCCCAGUGUAGAGGUGAAAUUCGUAGAUAUUGGGAAGAACACCGGUGGCGAAGGCGGCGACCUGGUCCGAUACUGACGCUGAGGCGCGAAAGCGUGGGGAGCAAACAGG